rnacentral:RNase_P_RNA from 1 species
GGGGCGGGAAAGGUGAUCGCUUUAAGGGAAACUUUGAAGAGGAAAGUCCGGGCUCCAUAGGACACGGUGGUGGGUAAUACCCACCGUUCGAGGCGAGUUUAGGCUCGCUGAAGAACCGGGAAAGUGCAACAGAAAGUAAACCGCCGUCUCGGGGUAACCUGAGUGGUAAGGGUGAAAAGGUGGGACAGCUCAGCUGUUUAAUGUAAAAGCCCACCAGCGGUUUGGUGACAAACCGGCUCGGCAAACCCCACCGGGAGCAAGGCCAAGCAGAAGGGUUAUGCCUGUCCGGCUUUAUACCCUUCGGGUAGGCUGCUCGACCUGCCAGGCAACUGGUAGGCAAGAUACAUGGUCACCCCAAGGUCGAAUAGACCUUGGACAGAACCCGGCUUAUGCUCUUGCCCCCCGC